rnacentral:lncRNA from 1 species
CUAUGCUAUCAGCAGGAUGGGGAAAUGAUUACCAGCCAUUUGGGACCUCCUAGAUAUCCUUGACUCAUUCUCAAAAUCCCUGGCCAGCAUGCUUAUUGGGGGUGCCUUAAGGGAGCUCAGCUGAUAAGCAUCAAACACAACACCAGGUUUUGACAAAUUUUUGACUGUUUGUUGAUGUACAAAUAUCCUUGUUGAUGCAUAGUCCCUGAAAAUAAAUAAAUAAAUAAAAUCACAGCAACAUUUGGGCUCAAAGUAACUAACUUCUGCUAACAGAUACCUCAGUAAUAGUAUCAGCUGCGUCACAACUCAGUGCAGAGUUCGCUUCAUUUUCAAGAUAUUUCAUAAGAUAGACAUUACAGCACAAUCUCAAUUCAUUACUUCUGCAGAAAGAUCAAGGAUAACACUGGGUUUUGGAGAUGAAAGAACUUUGUAAGUCACCUUCUCUGUUCUGACAGGCAAUGAAUAUCCCCACCAGUAAAGCAACAUCAUUUAAGAAGGGCUGUUGAACAAGUUGCUUUUGAGGGAAUUUGGGGGAAGCUGUUGGCAUUCAGUGAGGGCAAAAAUCUGCUAAAAUUCUCCACAUAACAGCCCACUUCAAUUCUCAGGUCUUGCAGUCACAGAAAUCACUGUAUCAUUUCAGAUCUGCACCUUUGAUUACUUGUAGGCUUUCUGGAAGUGUGACUUCGCACUAAUAUCCAGCAUCAAGAAAGAUUAAAAAAGCCAGUGAAUUUUCCUUAACCCAAUUUCCACAUUCCUCAUCAGUAUCACAGGAUUAACAGAUGAUUUUAGGCAACUUCUGAGACAGCAGUCUGCUUGUAACACUCAGCAUGUUCAACAUGGCUAGCACACUGCACAGCUACACAGACACCAACCAGGACACUCGCCUCUCUGCAUAUAAGGGAACCGCCGUUGUCCUCCUCAUGGUGCUCAGACCCUGCCAAGGAUGCCAGACACCCUCAGGAGGUGAGAACCGAGGUGCCGCUUGGCUCCGGCUGCAUGAAGGAUCUGAAGUGGGACACGAGCAGCCUCACGCCUCUGUGCUGAGGCCAGGCUGCUCCAUCCCACCUGGCACAGGAGGUGAGCUCACCUGAGUGCUUCCAACAGAUUUCAUGGAGCUGUGGCACUUGUGUUAACUCCAGCCCAUCCUGCUGACUGCCACACGCUCCCCACACGCAUGCUUCCUUCCCAGGAAGAGCUCAGUUCUCCCUGGAGCUGCAGUCCU